rnacentral:piRNA from 1 species
UCCAUGUAAGUCUCUAACAGUUGAUGGGUC